GAGACUAUACUUUCAGGGAUCAUUUCCAUAGUUCUUUACUAGAGAAGUUUCUCUGAUCCUGUAGAGCACGUGAAACAUGAGGAAGACCCUGAGCAUCCUCUCUUGAACAUGAAUCUGGUUCUAUGUGUUGCUUGUGCAACUACCUUUUACAAUUGAUAAUGGUUCUUCUCUUUCUUAAUGAGGGAAAGGGAGAGGAUGCAGUCUGAGUGGU